rnacentral:rRNA from 1 species
GAUCAUGGCUUAGGAUGAACGCUGGCGGCGCGCCUAACACAUGCAAGUCGAACGGCACCUAUCUUCGGAUAGAAGCGAGUGGCGAACGGCUGAGUAACACGUGGAGAACCUGCCCCCUCCCCCGGGAUAGCCGCCCGAAAGGACGGGUAAUACCGGAUACCCCGGGGUGCCGCAUGGCACCCCGGCUAAAGCCCCGACGGGAGGGGAUGGCUCCGCGGCCCAUCAGGUAGACGGCGGGGUGACGGCCCACCGUGCCGACAACGGGUAGCCGGG